rnacentral:rRNA from 1 species
GUAGGGAAUAUUGCGCAAUGGGGGAAACCCUGACGCAGCAACGCCGCGUGAGUGAGGAAGGUCUUCGGAUUGUAAAACUCUUUUAUUAGGGAAAAAUGUCUAGGUGGCUAAUAUCCACUUAGAGUGAUGGUACCUAAGGAAUAAGCACCGGCUAACUUCGUGCCAGCAGCCGCGGUAAUACGAAGGGUGCAAGCGUUGUUCGGAAUCAUUGGGCGUAAAGCGCGCGCAGGCGGGUCAGUAAGUCAGGUGUGAAAUCUCGAGGCUCAACGCCGAAACUGCGCCUGAAAGUAUUGGUCUAGAGUAUCGGAGGGGACAGGGGAAUGUCACGUGUAGGGGUAAAAUCCGUAGAGAUGUGAAGGAACACCGGAGGCGAAGGCGCCUGUCUGGACGAUUACUGACGCUCAUGCACGAAAGCGUGGGGAGCAAACAGGAUUAGAUACCCUAGUAGUCC